CUCUCUCAGGAUCAAAAUACGAGUCUGCCAACUGUAUUAAAUCCUCCUCCACCCCCUCCACCAGUUGGUCCACAGCUUCCUGGUGGGUCGUUGUCAUCAAAUCCAUUGGGCCGAAAUGAACAUGAAGCAGAUGCAGCUUGGAGGGCCCGGGCUCGAGCAUUCAACUCUUGUUCCCCAACUUACCUGUAAAUAUAGUUUAUUGUCUUUUGUUAUAGCAUCCAUAAGUUCUUUCUGUAGAGGUGGGUCUCCAUCUGUUUUUUAUACAAAAGCACAUAAGCUGUGUCCUUUGGAAACCUGCUCGUAAUUUUCUGGACUGACUGAAAUGAAGUAAAUGUCACUCUACUGUCAUUAAAUAAAAACCAUUCUUUUGACAUUGAGAAAUCUGAGGUAUUCAGAACAGUCUUGCUGUGAUCUGGGAGUAAACCAUGGAGGUCUGGAAGCCUCAAAGAAUAUCCGA
rnacentral:lncRNA from 1 species